rnacentral:rRNA from 1 species
AUUGAACGCUGGCGGAAUGCUUUACACAUGCAAGUCGAACGGCAGCACGGGGGCAACCCUGGUGGCGAGUGGCGAACGGGUGAGUAAUACAUCGGAACGUGCCCAGUCGUGGGGGAUAACGUAGCGAAAGCUACGCUAAUACCGCAUACGAUCUACGGAUGAAAGCGGGGGAUCGCAAGACCUCGCGCGAUUGGAGCGGCCGAUGGCAGAUUAGGUAGUUGGUGGGGUAAAGGCUCACCAAGCCUUCGAUCUGUAGCUGGUCUGAGAGGACGACCAGCCACACUGGGACUGAGACACGGCCCAGACUCCUACGGGAGGCAGCAGUGGGGAAUUUUGGACAAUGGGCGAAAGCCUGAUCCAGCCAUUCCGCGUGCAGGAUGAAGGCCCUCGGGUUGUAAACUGCUUUUGUACGGAACGAAACGGCCUUUUCUAAUACAGAGGGCUAAUGACGGUACCGUAAGAAUAAGCACCGGCUAACUACGUGCCAGCAGCCGCGGUAAUGUAGUCG